rnacentral:rRNA from 1 species
GGUUUAAUUCGAUGAUACGCGAGGAACCUUACCCGGGCUUGAACUGCCAGUGACUCAUGCAGAGACGCAUGUUUCUUCGGACACUGGCGGAGGUGCUGCAUGGUUGUCGUCAGCUCGUGCCGUGAGGUGUCGGCUUAAAGUGCCAUAACGAGCGCAACCCUUCUCCCUGUUUGCCAUCGGGUCAUGCCGGGCACUCCAGGGACACUGCCAUCGUAAGAUGUGA